rnacentral:rRNA from 1 species
AUUGAACGCUGGCGGUAGGCCUAACACAUGCAAGUCGAACGGCAGCACAGUAAUAGCUUGCUCUUACGGUUGGCGAGUGGCGGACGGGUGAGGAAUACAUCGGAAUCUACUUUUUCGUGGGGGAGAACGUAGGGAAACUUACGCUAAUACCGCAUACUACCGACGGGUGAAAGCAGGGGAUCUUCGGACCUUGCGCGAGGGAAUGAGCCGAUGUCGGAUUAGCGAGUGGUCGGGGUAAAGGCCCACCAAGGCGACGAUCCGUAGCUGGUCUGAGAGGCUGAUCGGCCACACUGGAACUGAGACACGGUCCAGACUCCUACGGGAGGCAGCAGUGGGCAAUAUUGGACAAUGGGCGCAAGCCUGAUCCAGCCAUACCGCGUGGGUGAAGAAGGCCUUCGGGUUGUAAAGCCCUUUUGUUGGGAAAGAAAAGCAGCCGGUUAAUACCCCGCUGUUCUGACGGUACCCAAAGAAUAAGCACCGGCUAACUUCGUG